GACGAACGCUGGCGGCGUGCUUAACACAUGCCAGUCGAACGGAAAGGCCCUGCUUUUGUGGGGUGCUCGAGUGGCGAACGGGUGAGUAACACGUGAGUAACCUGCCCUUGACUUUGGGAUAACUUCAGGAAACUGGGGCUAAUACCGGAUAGGAGCUCCUGCUGCAUGGUGGGGGUGGGAAAGUUUCGGCGGUUGGGGAUGGACUCGCGGCUUAUCAGCUUGUUGGUGGGGUAGUGGCUUACCAAGGCUUUGACGGGUAGCCGGCCUGAGAGGGUGACCGGCCACAUUGGGACUGAGAUACGGCCCAGACUCCUACGGGAGGCAGCAGUGGGGAAUAUUGCACAAUGGGCGGAAGCCUGAUGCAGCAACGCCGCGUGCGGGAUGACGGCCUUCGGGUUGUAAACCGCUUUCGCCUGUGACGAAGCGUGAGUGACGGUAAUGGGUAAAGAAGCACCGGCUAACUACGUG
rnacentral:rRNA from 1 species